CCUACUUAGUUACAAAUAGCCUUCUUGGGAGCUCCGGGCUCAGAAUGUGCAGGAAACGGGGACUUUUCAGGACACAGCAGCAGGUGACCCAAGCGCCCGCCGAGGUCCUGUUUGGAGGACCACAGCGAAGCCGGGUGGGGCAUUUCUCCUGAUCUCUUCGCGGUACCGGGGACGUUGCGGAAACUCGCCGACCUCCAUCUUCUUAAGCAGGAGGACUGUCGCCUCUCCGCACCGCACACACGCGCUUCCCGCCGCUGAGUGCCCCGUGUCCAUUGUCCUGCGGAAGCACUGAUUCCAACUCCAGGAGGGCAACCGGCAGGGUAUCUCUCCCUACGAGCAGACUUGACAAAACUUAUGGAAAAUAGAAUUGAAAGGAGGAUGUCCAGUAAAUUAUAAUCGCCACAAUGACCAUCAGGCUCUGUGAGCUUGUGAUGCUCUUAGACCCCGAAAGCCAUGGGACAAGAUGAACUUGACCUGGUCUGGUGAGACGAACUGCAAAACUGGCCAGACUCAACCAACAGCCAAGACCCAGCUACUUGGACGGGCUGGCAGAGCAGCAUUCUACAGACACACGGGACUUUCCAUUCUGAGGACCCCCUGCCCUUUGCCAGAUAUGUUUCAAACGGAAGAAUCCGCUGGCCAGCUCAACUGAUCAUGAACUCAAUCCUUUGCAGUAUUUCUUGGUCAUUCCGACGGCUCUUUGGACUCAAGGACAGAUCAGAAUGUGAGCUAGAGACACUUUCUGUGUUGGCUGAGGUUUUGCUGUGUCUCUGUUAGGACAGCGUUGCACAAAGUACAGUGUCCUAUGCACACUGCAGUGUCCGCUCGGGAUGUUGGAGCGAACAGUCACCAGGGACUUCCUAACAGGCCGGGGAGGCUGUGGGGAGUGGAAGAGGCAGGGAGGAGCAGCCAGGCUGAAGGCACAGAACUGAGGUCGCGCCUGCAGGGCAGGGGAGGUCCCUGGAUGGGGCCUUGCGGGGCUUUCUGGCUAAGGACGGCCACCCAGGCACCACCCCUCUCCCUGGGCUCUGUCCUUCACGGCUCCCAGCUGCCCUGCUGGGGCUAAGUCUCCCAUAUUCCUCCAGUCCCACUUGUCUCGUGACCCUUCCCCCUUCCUCUUCCUCCUCCUCCUCCUCCUUCUUCUCUCUCUCUCCCUCCCUCCCUUCUCCCCCUCCCCCUCCCCCAAGGGAGGAUCAUUGACAACUACUAAUCAAAGCAGCAGAUACCUCCAGGUUCUUGCGGGUUUGUGUUAGGAAAACUUUCACAGCCAUCAGUCCUAGUCCACUGAUGACAAAACUAGGGCUGUCUUCCACCCACACUUCCAAAGUCCAUCCACCCAAACGUCUGUCCAUCCACCCAUCUGUCCAAUCAUCUUCCCAUUCAUCUACCCAGAGCACAUGUCUUCAAGUGCCAACCACAGGCCCAGCACCAUUGUGGCCACCAGGAAAUCUCAAAGAACAAAACAAAAUCUCUACCUGUGUGAUGCUUACAGUCUGGUGGGGAGAGAGACAACGGAUAAGGAAGCGGACAGGUGCAUAACACACCAGGGAUUACACCCGCGGCGAGGAAGAACAAAGCCAGGUGCAGGAGUGAGACUGAUGGGCGAUGGGACCUCUGAGAAGCCUACAGACUGCCUUCCAGAAUUUUCUUUGGAAGGACAGGAAAUCCUGGCAGGUGCUGGUCACCAGCUGGCAGCCAGCCCACUCAUUCUGAGACCUCUCAGCUCCUGCUUUCUGCUCCUGCGUUGGGAAAUAGAAGCAAAGAGAGAGGAACGGGGAGGAAAAGCUGAGCAGCCAGCCAAGUGCCUGGCGAGCAGCGGGCAUUUGACGGAUGUUAAGUGAUGAGCGCACAAAUGAAUGGCCGUGCCGUGUGAGGAGACCGAGGGUGGCUGCAGUUGAGGACAGGGGGUGGGCACUGGGAGCGUGUCUGCCUAUACCCUGCCUACCGCCCAGGAGGGACCCACAGUGGGAAAUGAGCUGAGCUCAGGAGCAGGUCCCGAGUCUCCUGCAGCCUCCCGUCACACCCCCACGGGCAGCCAGGCUGCUAAGCCUGAUCCCAGCCCAGAGCCUUGAAGCAAAGCGUAGGGUCCGGGGCAAGGUUCAACCCUGGGUGACCACAGGCAUUCCUCUUCCCGGACCCGCUCGAGUGCAGCGGAAGCCCACCUGGAAGCCCAACGAGAAGUUAAUAAGCAAACCACACUGUGUACCUAAUGAAGUUUUAAAGCAAUUACGGGGCAAUCUCAUUGAUCCUUUGUUAAUAUCUUGAAACCUUUACAAAUUGAUUUUAUUUAAAGAACUCUCACGGUCUGUUAACUUCAUCAAUGUGUUUUCGCUUUGUUUUGAACACAACGCUAAGCAGCGUGUGCGUGCACACACGUGUGGCCCGGCAUGGCCACUCGGCAAAGAGCUCUUCUGCACCGGCCGGCGUCCACCUGCCUGCUCACAGAAACCCCUUCUUCCAGGUCGGUGUCAGGGGUCCUGUCCUGUGGGGCCGACUUUCCUGGGGGGCAGCAGGGCGGUGCCUCUGGAUCCGUCCCCCUGCUCAGGGCCAACUGGUCUGUUAGGACAGAGUUCACGCUGACAUCUGCCGGAAGUGGCAGCAGUGAGCAGGGGCUGGUGUGAAGGCAGCCAUCCUGAGCCCAGGAGGCAUGGGGACCCUGGCUUCAGAGUUCUGAGUCCUUGCUCAGGAAUAACACAGAGGCAGGCUGCUCCGAGAGUCCGGCAGAGGUUCCUGGUGACAGUGAAGUCCUGCUCCCUUGUAAGCCAGGCGCUCGGGAACAAAUCCUAGCAGGGAGUGUAGCAAGACCCACAAAGUAAGCUGUUUGGCCAGCUCCACCUUGGCCAUGCUCACUCUUGGCUUGCGCUUUAGGCACCCUGCUUGGAGAACGAGGCAGAAAUCCUGGAGGGGGACCAGAGGGAGGUGACAACCACGUGGCAUGUCGUAAGGCAAGAGGACAGGGGCUGCAGCAUUCCGGGCUUUGUGGAGGGAGGCGGGGAGAGCUAGAGCGCCAAGGGCUGUGGCGGAGCCGGCAGUGCACCGUGCUCGGUGCUCUAAGGGUUUCCUCUAAGAGUGUGGCUGCCAGAGGACUUGGGCCAUCUUCUACUGCUUUCCCAGGCUAUUAGCAGAGAACUGGAUCGGAAGUGGAGCAGCCGGGACUCGAACCGCUGCCCAUAUGGGAUGCUGGCACUGCAGGUGGUGGAGGCUUUACCCGCUACACCACAGUACUAGUCCCAGAAAUAAAGCCAUCCUGUUUCUUAUGGAGAUAUCAGCAAACAGAGAUGAGCCAAGAAACAAAGCAGAAAGAAUGUUCCAUUUGGGCAGAAGACAUUAUUGUAAGAAACGGACGCUCAGUCAGCGUUGUGGCACCGUGAGUUCAGCCUCCGCCCAGGAUGCCGGGUCCCCUACUGCAGCACCAGGUGGAGUCCUGGCUGCUCCGCAACGGAUCCAACUCCCUGCUAACAGCCUGGACCCACAUACUUAGGUCCCUGUGGCCCACAUGGGAGACCUGGAAGAAGCUUCCGGCUCCUGGCUUUAGCUUGACCCAGCACUGGCCAUUGUGGCCAUCUGAGAAGUGAGCCAGCAGGUGGAAGAUCUCUGUCUCUCCAUCUCUCUCCUUGUACCUCUGCCUUUCAAAUAAAUCAGUCUUUUA